GACGUAGGGCGCAAGCGUUGUCCGGAUUUAUUGGGCGUAAAGAGCUCGUAGGCGGCUCGUUGCGUCGGCUGUGAAAACCCGCAGCUCAACUGUGGGCUUGCAGCCGAUACGGGCGGGCUGGAGUACGGUAGGGGCAGAGGGAAUUUCCGGUGGAGCGGUGAAAUGCGUAGAGAUCGGAAAGAACACCAACGGCGAAAGCACUCUGCUGGGCCGACACUGACACUGAGAGACGAAAGCUAGGGGAGCGAAUGGG
rnacentral:rRNA from 1 species